GCACCCACCCACCACCACACCAGGCUUCCAGCACCCACCCACCACCACACCAGGUUCAAAUUAUGCUGGAACCAUCACGCCAAAUCCCACCAAUGCGGCAGCCACGUAAAAGAGACAAAACAAUGAAAGAUUGCUCUCACAACCAUCUCGAGGUGUUCCCUGUCCGCAAAAUAAUAAAGACAAGGAACCGAAAGGGGGGGACGGAGCACCUUUAUGACUGGGAGCCCUGCACCAUUUGUGGUAUGUCCUGGCCUCCAUCCUGGCAAGCAGCCUGAUUCCCACCCCAUGCAAAUCCCAUUGCCAAACAAAACAAUAAAUGUUUUGGUGUUUGUAUGGAAUUAAUAAAG